UACGUAGGUGGCAAGCGUUGUCCGGAUUUACUGGGUGUAAAGGGCGUGCAGCCGGGAAGACAAGUCAGAUGUGAAAUCCCGCGGCUCAAUCGCGGAACUGCAUUUGAAACUGUUUUUCUUGAGUACCGGAGAGGUCAUCGGAAUUCCUUGUGUAGCGGUGAAAUGCGUAGAUAUAAGGAAGAACACCAGUGGCGAAGGCGGAUGACUGGACGGCAACUGACGGUGAGGCGCGAAAGCGUGGGGAGCAAACAGG
rnacentral:rRNA from 1 species